rnacentral:rRNA from 1 species
UACGUAGGUGGCAAGCGUUGUCCGGAUUUACUGUGCGUAAAGAGCGCGCAGGCGGUCAUUCACGUCGAGUGUGAAAGCCCCCGGCUCAACUGGGGAGGGUCACUCGAUACUGUUUGACUCGAAGGCGGGAGAGGGAAGUGGAAUUCCCGGUGUAGUGGUGAAAUGCGUAGAUAUCGGGAGGAACACCAGUGGCGAAGGCGACUUCCUGGCCCGUUCUUGACGCUGAGGCGCGAAAGCUAGGGGAGCAAACGGG